AUGGGCUGCUUCCUCUCCUGCUUCCGCGGCCGCCCCGACCCGGCCGUCCGGGCCCUCCACGAUCCGCUCGUGCGCAAGACCCGGCUCGGGGAUGCCUUCCUGGACGACCACCACGACGACGGCACGGCGAAGCUUGAGGAGAGCGGGACGCCCAAGGAGGGUCCCGGUAACGACGGAGGGGUCGACGACGACCUCAGGCGAGAGGCAAAUUAUCUUAAAUCUUGUGGCGCAAUAUCAGAAACCCCUCCCGAAAUUCUGAAAGCAUCAAACCAAGUCGAAGAGCAAGAAAUUAAUGAGUGCAAUGAGACGUCCAACAAUGCACAGGAGACUAAAGAGGCCCUGGUGUCUGAAAAUAAGGAUUACUUGUCUGAAGGGUUCAACUCCGACGGGCACGAUGGAGCUUUGAAGCAUGACCAGGACACCGACGAAGGCACUGACGACCAUGUCACGGAGGUUGAAUCAGCGCCGAGAUCAUCAUCGCAGGAAAGGUCUUCAGCCCAGAUCAUCAGGAACCAGAAUCCUGAUCCUAGCGACUCGCCUUUCCCCACUCCUCUGGUCCUUAGAGACGAUAUCCAGACUCCUGGAUUCACCACACACCAGGGGAACUUCAAGCCCGGGAAGCGCGGGAGGGCCAGCAAGCAAUUUGUAUACCCCGUCCUGAGACCCAUCGAGAACAAGCUGCAGUGGACGGAGCUGAGAGACGAGUCCUCCCCCAUGGUCGCCUCUCACCCUCCCAAAAGAAGGUACCUGUCCGCAGAUUCCACCGAGAAGCCUCAGCAGCACACCCUUCCAGGCUCAGUGAAUGAAAGCACAGAGCUGUCAUCAGAGUCUGCGCCAUUUCUGUUCCAUUCCGGCAGGAAAGAGCAGCAGGCUCAAGAGGAUGAGAAUGUCAACCAGCAGCAGCUUGUGGGUGGCGGUGGCGUCGGAGAGCUGCUGAACAAGAGCUCGGAGAACGGGAAGCAUGGCGUGGCCAGCCUGUCGUGCUGGCUCAAGACCUCGUGCGCGGAUGGUGAGGGUGAGACUGGACGGCAGCUGGGCUUCGGGAGCGUCGAUCUCAGCGACGUGCCCAUCUUUGUGGCCUCUGGACUGAACUGGGACAACGAGAACAACCCUACCCCGAUGCUGCCCAAGGCCUGGGACGGCAAUGGGAUCCCCAACACCACCACCAAGUACAAAGAGGACCAGAGAGUGAACUGGCAUGCCACGCCGUUCGAGGAGAGGCUGAUGAAAGUUUUGUCCGAUGAGAAACCACACCAUCAGAGGAAGAUCAGUGGAAAGCUGAUCCACCUGGAGGAGGACGCGAUAGAGAGCCCGGCAAGUGCGACUGCUUCCUCGUGA
rnacentral:rRNA from 1 species